GACGAACGCUGGCGGCGUGCCUAAUACAUGCAAGUUGAGCGCUGAAGGUUGGUACUUGUACCGACUGGAUGAGCAGCGAACGGGUGAGUAACGCGUGGGGAAUCUGCCUUUGAGCGGGGGACAACAUUUGGAAACGAAUGCUAAUACCGCAUAAAAACUUUAAACACAAGUUUUAAGUUUGAAAGAUGCAAUUGCAUCACUCAAAGAUGAUCCCGCGUUGUAUUAGCUAGUUGGUGAGGUAAAGGCUCACAAAGGCGAUGAUACAUAGCCGACCUGAGAGGGUGAUCGGCCACAUUGGGACUGAGACACGGCCCAAACUCCUACGGGGGGCAGCAGUAGGGAAUCUUCGGCAAUGGACGAAAGUCUGACCGAGCAACGCCGCGUGAGUGAAGAAGGUUUUCGGAUCGUAAAACUCUGUUGGUAGAGAAGAACGUUGGUGAGAGUGGAAAGCUCAUCAGGUGACGGUAACUACCCAGAAAGGGACGGCUAACUACGUGCCAGCAGCCGCAGUAACAC
rnacentral:rRNA from 1 species